rnacentral:rRNA from 1 species
GACGAACGCUGGCGGCGCGCCUAACACAUGCAAGUCGAACGAGCGAGAGAGAGCUUGCUUUCUCAAGCGAGUGGCGAACGGGUGAGUAACGCGUGAGGAACCUGCCUCAAAGAGGGGGACAACAGUUGGAAACGACUGCUAAUACCGCAUAAGCCCACGACCCGGCAUCGGGUAGAGGGAAAAGGAGCAAUCCGCUUUGAGAUGGCCUCGCGUCCGAUUAGCUAGUUGGUGAGGUAAUGGCCCACCAAGGCGACGAUCGGUAGCCGGACUGAGAGGUUGAACGGCCACAUUGGGACUGAGACACGGCCCAAACUCCUACGGGAGGCAGCAGUGGGGAAUAUUGGGCAAUGGAGGAAACUCUGACCCAGCAACGCCGCGUGGAGGAAGAAGGUUUCGGAUCGUAAACUCCUGUCCUUGGAGACGAGUAGAAGACGGUAUCCAAGGAGGAAGCCCCGGCUAACUACGUG